CAUCCCAAACUUCAGCAAACAGCUACAUCUAUUCAUCUCCACCACCACCACCAAAGCCUUACUACUACCACUCUCCACCACCACCGGUGCACUCACCACCUCCUCCUUACCAUUACAGUUCCCCACCACCACCUCCAAAGAAGCCAUACAAAUACGCUUCUCCUCCACCUCCAGUUUACAAGUACAAAUCACCUCCUCCACCAGUGUAUAAGUAUAAGUCUCCUCCUCCACCACCGAAGAAGCCAUAUAAAUAUCCAUCUCCACCACCACCAGUUUACAAGUACAAGUCACCUCCUCCACCAGUUUACAAGUAUAAAUCUCCUCCACCACCAGUUUACAAGUACAAAUCACCUCCUCCACCGGUGUACAAGUAUAAAUCCCCUCCUCCACCAGUGUACAAGUACAAGUCUCCUCCACCACCACCUAAGAAGCCAUAUAAAUACCCAUCUCCACCACCGCCAGUUUACAAGUACAAAUCACCUCCACCACCGGUGUACAAGUACAAAUCUCCUCCACCACCAGUUUACAAGUAUAAAUCCCCUCCUCCACCAGUGUACAAGUACAAGUCUCCUCCACCACCACCAAAAAAGCCAUAUAAAUACCCAUCUCCCCCACCACCAGUUUACAAGUACAAAUCACCUCCUCCUCCAGUUUACAAGUAUAAAUCUCCUCCACCACCAGUUUACAAGUAUAAGUCACCUCCUCCCCCAGUUUACAAGUACAAAUCUCCACCACCACCACCCAAGAAACCAUACAAGUAUCCAUCACCACCACCACCAGUUUACAAGUAUAAGUCUCCCCCUCCACCUGUCUACUCACCACCACCAGUUUACAAGUAUAAGUCUCCUCCUCCACCUGUCUAUUCACCACCUCCACCAUAUAAGUACAAAUCUCCACCACCUCCUCCUUAUAAGUACCCAUCACCACCACCACCAGUUUACAAGUACAAGUCACCUCCUCCCCCAGUUUACAAGUACAAAUCUCCACCACCACCACCCAAGAAACCAUACAAGUAUCCAUCACCACCACCACCAGUUUACAAAUAUAAGUCCCCUCCUCCACCUGUAUACUCACCACCUCCACCAGUUUACAAGUAUAAGUCUCCUCCUCCACCCGUCAAUUCACCACCUCCACCAUAUAAGUACAAAUCUCCACCACCUCCUCCUUAUAAGUACCCAUCACCACCACCGCCAGUUUACAAGUACAAAUCACCUCCUCCUCCAGUUUACAAGUACAAAUCUCCACCACCACCACCCAAGAAACCAUACAAGUACCCAUCACCACCACCACCCGUUUACAAAUAUAAGUCCCCUCCUCCACCAGUUUACAAGUAUAAAUCUCCUCCUCCACCUGUUCACUCACCACCUCCACCACACUAUGUCUACUCUUCACCUCCUCCUCCGGUCUAUUCCCCUCCUCCACCACAUUACAUAUAUUCAUCACCUCCUCCUCCUUACCACUCUUAGAUAACGGUUUACCAUAGUAUCCCAUGGUAUGCUUCUUUUUUAGUACGACCAAUAUCUUUAUGAUUAAAAUGCUUCGAGAAAUACUAAUUUAUAUAUCAACAAAAUAUAUGUAUUUUAUCAACGAAACAAUUAAAUAAGAGAAUCAAAAUUAGUGAUUUGAAUAGUUUUACAUGCCAACACAUGCAAGUCGUUAUAUAGACCUCACAUUCAUUUUAUUCUUAUUAUUCUUAUAGUCUAAAUAGUACAAUUUUCUUGAAACGUCUAAAUUGACAUACAUCUUAUGGUACAGUUUACAAAAAUCAAUCUAAGCCUAUUUUAUUUCUAUUUAUAGUAUUAUAUGUAAAUAGAAAAAAUAUACAAACUAAAAGGAAAGUUGACAGUUAUGUUUCUUAUUAAUGCUUCUCACUCGUAUUGUUCUUUGAGUGCUUAAUUAAUGUGUUUAUGUGUUUGUAUAUACUUUUGUAGGGAUUAAGGAAUAUUGGAAAUAAAGAGAACAUAGUGCAAAGCAGGAAGAUGCAUUUAGCAAUAAGGGAGAAAAACAACGGAAGCAAAGUUUCCAUGCAUUUUGGUCUCAGAAAAAGUCACUUUGUUUUUCUUAUUUGUUUGUAUAUGAAUUAUUAUUCUCAUUAUUGAGUUUGGUUAUUGAAUUUAGACAGGUGUAAUACACUGUGUGUAAUAUCGUGAAUGCAUUUUGUUUUGGAACCUACUCUUUGCAAGGGGUUGGUUGGGAAAAUAAAAUUGAAUAUUUGUUCUACUAAUUCUUUGCAUAUUUAUUGUGAAAUUACAAUAUAAUCAAUGCUCAACUAAUUAUUUUUUUCAACAGAAAACUAAUGCAUUUCAUUAAAAAUUAAAGGACCAAUAUAAAGGAGAAUGUCAAAUUAUAAAGCUAAGAAUUUCUGAAAAAAAAAAUAAAGUUGAGAACUGACGCUGUAUAUGUUUAGCUUAGCAAAGGUGCAUUGUGCAUCCAUAUUAGUCUCUCUCCUACAAAACUCGACAUAAGAAUUAUUACAUAAUAACGAUAAAGUACUACAAUAUCUACUUAAAAUAGAAUCUACAUAUCAAUAGCUGUUAAUAAGUUUAAAGUCUCACCCUCACUCAAUAACUUAUUUAAGCAUUGAAUGUUCAAUCCAAUUGCUAUUAAUUUCGACAAGCCGGUCCUAAUUUACUCUCUCUCGGUUUUCUCUUCCAGUUUCUUCAUUGAGGAGUUAUUUUGGGUCAAUUAUUGACCUGAAAUCACUCCUCUUCAUCUUUUUAUGCCUAUUUCAAUCUAAAUAAGUGAUUUUCACAUAGAUUUAGGUUUUUUCUUUGUGGUUUUAUCAUCUAAGUGUGGUGGUUUGUUGUUCGUCGUCUUGUGCGGCGUUGUUCGAUUUCACGUUUCUUGCGGUGUUCAUUUAAUUCAUAUUGAAAGAUUGAUUAUUCAAUCGAAGAUUUGGGCGUCAACGUUGCAGAUCCGGAUGCUAUGGAUAUUCCGGUCACUUUAAUUUUAUCAUAUAUUUUUUGUUGUGAAAACCACACCAAUAAUAAACUUGAUGCGUGGAGCAAAUUAAUACCAAGUAAUCAAAUCAAGCGGGUAGCAAAUAAUUCAAACAAAAGUAAACGACAAGAGAUAAAAGGAAAGAAGGAGAACACAAGAAUUUGUUUACCCAGUUCGGUCUAAUGAUGACCUAGUCUAGGGGAGAUAGCAGCUCUCUGCUUCACUAUAAUGAUAUGAGUUUCUUUACAAAGAGAUAUUGAAUUACAAGAAUCAGUCUUCAAACCUAAUUCUACCCAAGUCCCAGCCUCUUCCCGUGACCAAGAGACUCAAUCCUAAUGGUGCUUUGUUCAACGUGAAUCAAAACAAUCCCAACCCUAGUGUUUGUUGCCAAGAGAAAUUCUCUAUAAACCCUAUUUUCUACACAGUGUUUUGUUUCUACACACUCUCAGUCUCUCAAAUAUUCAUAUGAUACAAAGCUUAUAUUUAUAGUGGAAAGCAUUCCUCAAAAAUUGGAAACAGGCCCACAAGCUGUUUUAUUUUUCUCAUCUUGCGAGAAAUCGGCCAUCAAGUUUGGAAAAUCGGCCACCGAUUUUUCACGAGACAAAAGUCUCCAAAACCAGGUCAAAAUCGACCACCGUGUGGUGUAACACCCCAUUCCCAAAUAUAAUUUAUUUAAAUGAAAUAAACACACAUCAGAGUAAUAAAUCCAAAUGGGCAUGUCACACUACAUUUUCAAAUUUCUGAAAUAGAAUAUAAAAAAUCUAUUUAUUAAACAUCCAAUGAAAUCAUCAUUUAAUAUGCAGCGGAAUAUUAUCAACGAAACGUCAACAACUGUUUAAACCUCCAAAAUAAUAUCUCAGCAUAAAAAGCCUCAACCAGAAUAAUUCAUCAACCAUAGGGCUACAACAACAUUAACCAAAAUUUGAUACAUAGAAUGAAAGAAAACAAUAAAAUCCCAUCCCACGUAUCAGAGCCCUAGACACUUUGAGCCACCACCUACUACUCAGGAUCACCUGCAAGUUACCCAUAGGAAGGGCAACAUUUCCAAGCAGAAGGGGUGAGAUUCUCAAUCAAUAAAAAUAAAAUAUAAUAACAUCAAUUGAAAAUCUAGCACCUUACAACAUCAAUGAUUAUUCAAUAAGCAUAGGUAUUUCAUAAUCGACAACAAUCAUUCAAAUAUAGAAUUCAAUCAACAAUGCAACUCAUGAUAUGACAUGACACCCCCCUUUAAUACUCCUCAAUAAAUGCAACUAUGCAUGUGGUACCAUAAUUCAGGGCCAUGACCCACACCACUGUCGAAUGGUUAAAGCAUUCUCAGCAGGACCUAAGUCCUCACCGCUCCACACCGCUUUGAACAACUAGUGUUCCACCGCUUUGAACGACAAGGCGUUCCAGAGCCGAAGCUCUCCCACUUUGAUGUUUAUGCAACUACCCCACCUGUGUAUAUCUACAUACAACUCGACCACUACAUAUGUAUCAUAUGACUUACUACUCCACAACUCAAACAAUCCAGACUUACACAAUUAUUUAUAAUUAUGCACAUACAUCAAUCAUCUCCGACAUUCACUAACACCAAUCAAUCCAAUCACUGGCUAGUUUAAAUAGGAUUUGGUCACCUACACCAGGGUUAUAUUAGUUAAAGAGGAAGUUAAAGAACGCUCAAGAAGUCCCCUCAUGCACUAAGCAACAGUUCAGAAAAGGCUGAUUAAGGUUCACUUCGCUUAAGCGACGGCUAGUUCGCUUAAGCGACCAGCUUACAGUAGGUUCUGGGUUCAGUUCGCUUACGGGUCGCUCACGGUUCGCUUGAGCGAACUUUGGACAGAAUGAAAAUGGUUUUUCGCUCACAGGGUCGCUUACCAUUCGCUUAAGCGAAAUCUUGGCAGAACCAAACUUAAUUUUCGCUUACCAGUUCGCUCACGGUUCGCUUAAGCGAACGGGUAAAAUCGCAUUCUGGGCAGCUUGCUUGAAUGCUCGCUUAAGCGACGGAUGCUUCGCUUAAGCGACCACUCAUCUGGGCAGUGCAAAACCUACGGUUUCAGACCUCUUCUCACUCCAAAAACCCCAUUUUAAUCCCCUGAUCACCCAAAAUGUUUUCCAACAGAUGUUUACAGGUCCUAUAUACAACUAGGCAUUACAAAGAAACACAAUUCAGCCAUCAACAACAACAAUUAUAGAAUCAUUCCACCAUCACACAAUAUUUCAUCAAUUCAUACAAUUCAUCCAAAAUUCAAUCAAUUCAUGGAUUACAGCAACAACAUGGAUUAAGAUUUCGUUCUUAACAUUAAAUUCCAAGAAACUAACAUCAUCUUUACUCAUUCCAUCAGAAUCAUCAUCAAACCCUAACUUUCAUCUUAUUUUCCAAAACUAUUCAAUUAGGUCAAUUUCAGAAAUUAUAGAUUAUGAUUAUUGAGAGAUAGUCUCACCCUUACCUUAGUUUUGCAGAAAAUUAGACAGCAAGGAUCGAUUUCUAGGCUCUCCUCUCUAGCUCUUGCUCUUCUUCUCCCUUUUCCCAAAACUUGUCUGUUGUACGUGAAACUGUUUUCUGACUAUUCCUUUUCCUAACUCCCCAAAACUAUAACUCCCCCUAUUACAUUAAACUCCAUUAAUUUUUAUUAAAUUCUAAUUAACUCCCUAAUUUCUAAAAUAAUAUUAAUUUCCAGUUAUUUUAAUUAUUAUUAUAUUAAACUAUAUAAUAAAAUGCACACACCACAUAAAUCACCAAAAAUCAUAUAAAAUCACAUUUGAGACUCCACAUAAUUCAAAAUAAAAUAAAAUAAUACUAGGGCGUUACAUGUGGUACAAAUUGGACACCGAAUUUGACAGACAGGAUGCACAUUUUUGAGUCACUUUUCAACAUUUUUGUAGGCAUUAUGUCGUUAUAUGCUAUUAAUUAACUUUGAUGUUGUGAGUUUAUUAGCAGAUUCAUCCUUUAAGUUUUUAGCGGUGUUGAAUGAUGUAAUCUCGAUUUGAAUGAAUGAAUAUCAUUUUAUUUUUGUAAAAAAAAAAAAAAAAAAAACUAUAUACAUCAUUACUGUAAUUUUUUUUACAACAUGUAUCAAUCAUUUUGUUACAUUUUGUAUUAGUUACUAAAGUAUAUCUACAAAUAGUCUAUGUCGUUAAUUGUGAUCGAAUGCACACAGAUUUUUACAUUAAAAUUUUGCAAACCAUCAAAGUUAAAAAAACAUGCAUAGAACAAACCUUGGGAUAUGUAUUCGAGAUGACGAAAACACUUUUUGUGUUGGAUAAAACUUUGUCCAUCACUGCAAUGUAUAAGCAUACGGGAGAAGUUUUGGGUUUUUUCCAAUCGUUACACUAAUUAAGUGAUAUGUAAUUUGACAAUGUUGACUUUACAUUGUACUCAAAGAUUAUUACAAAUGGUUUCCAUCAUCAUCGUGUUCAUGUUACAUAAUUUGGUCAAGUGAUUUCAGCUUACAGGGGCCUCUUUAAUACUUAUUUCACAAACUCUUAGGACGAGUUUAACAGACGACAAACCAAUGAGGUAGUUCACAUCCUUGUUGGGUUGUCAAAUUAUCAACUAAUCUCACUAUUUAUUCGCAUGUAAUUCGUUGUAUAAGCACUCUUAUUAUUAAUUAAACUAGCGAGUUAACCCGUGCAAUGUAUGAGCGACAUAUGCUACUAUUUUUUAAUCUCCAAAAUUAUAUUCUUUUUUUUGUUUUUUUAUAUAUCACUAGCGAAAAGACAAGCACUCUCGUGCCCGUCUUUCCGCUCUUUUUAUUGCGUUAAUGUUUGAAAAUUAUGAACAAUAUUUUUUUAUGAAAUUUUGAUUUUGAUUAAAACUAUAUAUAUAUAUAUAUAUAUAUAUGUUUGUUGCUUUAAAAUUAUAACAAAUCAAACUAAUCAUGAUUAUCUAUUUCAUUGAAACCAACAAUAUAACAAAAAAAAUAUAAUCUAAACUCUUAUUUUUUUAAUGACACCAACAACGAUCUUUAUUAUAGAAAAAGUUAUUUGAGGGUAUAAUUGAAAUAGUAAAAAAGUAAGUAUAUAAAAAUACUCAUCUAGUUUGUUAGACAUUUUAAAAGAUAAAAGAAAAAAAUUAGACAUAUAUAUAUAUAUAUAUAUAUAUAUAUAUAUAUAUAUAUAUAUAUCGUGUUUCUUACACUUUUAUUUUAAUACAUGAAUUUGCUUUAAUCUAUUUGUUUUGUGUUAUUUGUAUUGAAAGUUAAGGGUAAUUUUGGAAAGAGAAAAAUUCAGCCUAAAAGAGUCUAAAUAUGCUAUUUUCUUUAUAUAUAGUAUAAAUUAACUAACAUUUUAUAAGUUAUAGCCGGCCCUAGUUUUCUAGUGAGAGAAACUCCAACUUCUCUCUAGACUUUCUUUCUCCUUCGUUCAUCGAGGAGGGGUGGUUUUAGGUCAUUUUUUGACCUAGAAUCACCCCUCUACAUCUUUUUUCCCCUUUUCUUUCAAUCUAAAUAAGUGGUUUUCACAUCUAUCAAGUUUUUCGUUUUGUGUUUUUUGUGAUUUCGUCGUCUAAGUGCGGCGUUUGAUUUCGCGUCUUGUCGCGGUGUUUGUUCAGUUCCUAUUGAAAGAUCUACAUCAAUCAAUUACAAAUUCAAGCAAUGAUUUGGAUGUCAACGUUGCAGAUCCGGAAGCAUGGGUAUUUCGGUGAUUUAGGUUUGAUCAUAUUAUUUGUAGGCAUUUUGCUGUUGUAUGCUAUUAACUUGGGUGCUGUGAGUUUGCUCGCAUAUUCACCCUUUACAUUUUUAGCGAUGUUUGUAUCUGAUGUACUCUAUCGAUUUGAAUGAAUGAAUAUCGUUUUGUUUUUGUAAAAUAAAAAGUGUUUUUUUUUUUUUUUUAUAUUUUUUAUUAGUGACAAAUAUUUGACCCAUACAUUUUUUAUGUAUUAAUGAUAAAUAUUUGUUCUAGUUUUCUAAAUUUAUAAUGACAAAUAUAUCUUAUGUGUUUAUCAUUGACAAAUAUUUGACACAUUUUUUUAUAUAUUUAUCAGUGGUAAAAACCUCAUAAAGAACCUAUGUUAAAUACUUGUUCCGUACUUUUUUAAUUGAUCAAUUACAAAUAUUAGUCCCAUGCUUUUUAAUAUUUUUUGUUCAAUUUUUUAAAAUAUUUAUCAAUUAAUUUAGGGUUAACAGGCCUUUACCCCCUACAAUGAUAGGCGAAUACUUGACCCUAGAGCUCUAAAAUGUGUUUUUGUUGGCUAUUCCUCCACUUAAAAAGGAUAGAAAUGUUACCAUCCUUCGUACAAACAAUUCUGUGUCUAGAGAUGUUACAUUUCAUGAAGAGGAAGCUUUUUUCAAACAACCUUAUCUUCAGGGAGAGAAUUUAAGAGAAGAUAAGGAAAUAAAUCAUGAAAUCCUUGCUCUUCCUAUCCUUGAGUUUGCUUGUAUCCUAAGGUUGACAUAACCUUAGAGAACCUUUCAAACCAUGCUCAGGGUGAUUGUUUCAAUCCAUAUAAUGCCUUUUUCAACCUGCAUAUAGAAUUGGCAGCAAGAUUUUUACAAUAUUCUGGCGGUACCUCCAUAUAGAUUUCCUCCUCUAGUUCCCCAUGCAGGAAAGCAUUUUUCACAUCAAAUUGCUGCAAUUCCCAACCAUAAAAGGAAUGGAAAUGCAAUAAUUGAAGCUUAUACUGAUGAUGACCAUGCGGGGUCAAUUACAGACAAGAGGUCCACUACUUGAUAUUGUACCUUUGUUGGAGGAAAUUUAGUAACUUGGAGGAGCAAAAAACCGAAAGUGGUGGCUUGCUCUAGUGUUGAAGCUGAGUUUUGAGUAUAACAUAAGGUAUUUGUGAACUACUUUGGCUGCAAAUUAUUUUAGAAGAUUUGAAGAUAAAAUUGGAUGGACCUAUGAAGUUCUAUUGUGAUAAUAAGUCAGCAAUCAACAUAGCUCAUAAUCCCGUUCAACAUGAUCGAACAAAACACGUUGAGGUGGAUAGGAAUUUUAUCAAAUAUUUUUAUAUUUAUUAGUGACAAAUAUUUAUUUCACGUUUUCGGAUAUAUUAGUGACAAACAUUUGUCCUAUGUUUGUUAUGUAUCAGUUAUUAAUAAAUGUCUUGUGUAUAUUUAUCAUUGAUAAGUAUGUGUCCCGUGUUUUUAUUUUAUUUUAUUUUUUAUAUUCUUCGAUCUUAAAGCAACGAUGAUAGAUCAAGACCUAGAGUGAUAAUUGGUGCCAUUUAACAAAGAGUUUGCAAGAACAUUCCCAAGAUUUUUAUUUGGAUGCAUGAAAUAUGGAUUUAAGGUAUCAUUCUGGUAACCUUUGUGAUGAUGAGAAUCGUGUCCUCCAUUGACACUUCCAGCAAUACUAUCCAUAGACAUGAUGAAUCAACGAAAGGGAUUCACAGAGAAAAGAAAGAAGAGAUAUUUUUACAUUCUUAUGACAUAACUAACUACACACUAACUAUGAUUAAGACUAGAGAUGACUAUAGUUAGGAUGUUACAACUAACUGUUAACUGCCUCAAUAACUUGCAGAGCAACUUACUUAGUGUUCACUAUGUUUUGUUGUUGACAAAAUUCUUAUUUGAUGUUUUAAAAAUUACAAACAUAUUAAAUUUAUUUCAUCUUGUUAUCUACUAACUUGUUCUGUGAUAAUUAUUUCAUGAGAAUGAUCACGACAACAUUCUGGUAUCAUAAGACAAACAAAGCAGUUACGUCAAAAGACAAAUCAGCAAAAAGGCAAAAUUUAGCUUUACAAGAAUAUUUAACUUUUGAAUUAUUAAUAUCAAGAUCAAGACAUUUAUAUGCCUUAUUAAAGGAAGACAUAUAAUGUUCUGUCGAAAAGAAAAAAAAAAGAUAUUUAAUCAUUGUUGAUUGGCAAAAUGAAGAAAGAAAUGUUUUGGGCCUUAAAGAAGAUUUUUUAUCCAUUAAGGAAAAGAAACAAGUCCAUUAAAGAAAAAUAUCUCAUAAAGGCUUUAAGCACAUGUGAAUUAAAUGUGACAUCAUCAAAAGGACAAAAGAAUGACAUAAGCAUGUCACUUCUGACAACUAUCAACAACUCAUUAUAGCCGGAUAACUCUCACGUGGAAGCAUAAAGUAAGCUGGACAUCCAUAACCUUCUGGAUGUGUAAAUUAACAUUCUAGUCGUGUUGAAGAAGAAAAGUGAAAUCAAUUGAAACUUUGGAUAUCUAUAAAAAUGUGCCCAACAACUCUAUUUUCAUAGUUUAUCACCAACACACUCCACAUCUAUAAAUACAUGAAGACAUGAAGAAUCAAAACAAGUGUUUUGAAAGCAAGCAUUCUCUCGAGUGAAAAUCAUCACUAUAUACAAACUCUUCACAAACAAACAAAUUCUAAGUUCUCUCAAUAUAUCAUUUGGAUGAUACUCAUUCAAAUUUGUUUAUUUAAAUCUCAAACAUGUGUUGAGAAUUUCAUUUGAUCCAAACCCACCUCAUCAUACAAAGUGUAUUGUGUUCUCAAGUCUAUUGCUAACAAUAUUUUGAGAAGAAUUGACAACCUUUCUUGUCCAGAAUUAAAAAAUUGUAGAAGCCUACUAAGGUUUAUUUUACAGGAUUUAACGAACUGAUCUGGUGUGAUCAAGAAUUUAUGGUGCUAGUCAUAAGUUUCUGUUAGCAUGAUACUAUAGUGGAUAAUCUUACACAAGGUGUGGGGACUGAAAGUAGCCGAGUUUGGUGAACUAUGAUAAAUCUCAGGUGUUAUUCUUCUUCCCUUUCUCUCUUUAAUACUUAAUAAUCUCUCCAAAAUAUUGUGGUCCUAAUUAAUCACAAUCAAAUUAAUCCAAUGUUUUCUGGUCCUAAAUUGUUUCAUUUAAUAUUAAUUAUACAGAUGCAUUCAGAACAUUCUGAUGCAAGAUAAAACAAUUACAUAAAUAACUAAAGACAAACUCACGUUUAAAAUCAAAUUAUAAUAUUAUUUUAUCAUUCUGUUUUAUUCUCCAGAACAUUCUGGUCCUUGUUAAAAUAGUUUUACAUUUCAGCUUAAUAUCAUUUUUCUCAUUCUUCUUAUAUAUUAAAUAUAUAAUCAUUUAAUCAAAAACAUUAUGGUCCUAGAUAAAAAAGAAUUGUUAUAUAUCAAACACUCUAAUCUAAUUAGACUAACAUUUACCAAGAACCUUCUCUACUAAACAAACUUAUUUAAGUUUCAGGAAUAAUUUUAAAAGGGUCACAAUUCACCUCCUCCUCUUGCGACGUUUCUUGCUACUUCAUGUUCAACAUAGGAUUUUAUAUCACAACCAAGCGACUUUUUCACACCCACACACCCAUUAGUUAUCUAGCUGUAAUAAAAGCAUGUAAUUGAAUGAAUUAAAUGAAAAAGGAGUUAGGGUUUCAAAUAACAACCAUAUAGAUUUAGGGGUGGCCCUGAGGGCAGGCAGGAGGGGCAGUAACCUAGGGCACCAUUUUUUAAGAGGCACCAAAAUUAUUAUUUUUACUUAGUAGUUAGUACUAUAUAGAUAUAUUUCUUUUUAAUUCGUUUUGAUUAAUUAUAUUAAAAAUAUAUUUUUAGAGAACUUUAAUUGUAAAUGAAUCUUUUGUAACAAAAACUGCAAGAAGGAAAAUAUUGAAAUAAAUAAAACAACACAAUUUUAUUGUUUCGUCCAUGACACCAAAAAUCUCAGAACCAGCCCUGAGAAAGACUAUAAUGUUGUGGGGCCGCAUCUUUUCUUUUCUUAACAUGAAUGUGAAGAAAGACGAGAGAUUAUAAAAUUUAGAUAUUUUCUACGCUGCCCUUCUCUCUCUUCAUGUUUGUCUUUUGCAAAAUAACAUCAUUGUAAAAAUUAAAUUUAGUAUCUUAUACUCCCUCCAUUCCUUUUCUUUUAAUGUUUUAGAACUUUAAAUAUAUUCCAAAACUUUUGAUGUUUUAGUGAAUUUAUUAUUGUUUUCUCAAGUUUACCCUUUUCUUCCGAAGCAUAAAGAAUAACCUUCAACCAAGACAUAAACUCAAAAAGAAAAUGUUUAAAUUAAUAAUAAUAUUGAUUUUUAUGUUUGUUUUUUAUUGAACACGUAGAAAAUUGGUUUUCAAACAAACAUAACGUUUGGGAGAGUAUGUAACACUUGAGUUCGAUUCUAGAAUUGUCUAUUUGGAAGGCAGCUCAAUCUUGUAUAAAAAUAUGUCUCACAUUCAACUUGAAAUUAAAUGUCAUAGCUUGGUUAAACUAGAGCCAUGGACAGAUAAAGAGACUAUGUGAUCAAAUGUGGCUAUUUUGAUACAAGUCAUUUUGCCUUUUAAAAAAGAAAAAAUGAAUAGAUUUAAAGCAAUUGGUUAACAAAUCCAAGUCACACCUCAUCAAGGAAGGAAAAGUCAGCAUUUACUUAGCAUUCACAUAUCAAGACUUUUUGUUUAUGUUAGGCAAUUGUCCUACCUCAGGAACAAAGAGAAGAGGCCAAAAAAUAAGGUUAAAUAAUGCAAAGUCUCUGAUUCGAAGUACUUUGACUCUUUUUGUGGAUUUUAGGGAUGUUUGGUGGGUAACCUACACCAUUCAAUCAUUCCCAUCAUAUAAUUAAAUGAAUCUCACUUAAUAAAAUCAAGAAUCAUAUCCUGUUCUUCAUCAAAAUCAUAUUCCAAACCAAAUGAGUGUAUGACAUACGCUACAUAAAUUAUAAUAGAGUCUUGUUAACCAUUGUUCGGACAAUGGUUAAGGAACUUAAAAGUAGUAUGUUUGCAUUGGUUUUAAUAACUUUUAACUUUUAAAAAGUUAAAUUUAUCAGUUUUUAUCAUUUUUCAAUACUAUAUUUAUAUUUUUAUCCUCCAAUACCUCAAGAGCAAUGAUUAGCAUUCUCAUCCGUAAUAAUAUGAUUUACAUUUAAGAAAUUCAAGCCACCUUAGUCAUUAUUAAUCAUAUCCUCGAUUUUGACUUGUAAUAGGAGCUAGAACAGCUAGCGCAACAAUAAAUUUUUUGACAAAUACAUGUCCAUCAACAAGGACAGACAAAAUAUUUAAUUUUGUAAGAAAAAAAACUCAUUCAUAAAAUUAUAAUCAUGUUAAUAUAUGCUCUACGAACACAUGUUAAGAAUUCAAUAAAUAAUAACCAUUUAGACACAUGCUCGGAAACCACAUCAAACCAUAAGACGAGGCAAUGAUAUGCAAAUCACAUUUGGAAUCCUUCAACAACCAUAUAGGUUUUUCACACAUUCGAAGACCGUUAACUCACCUCACAUAAAUACAGGUAAAUCACACUUAAAGGUUAGAGUGUUUACAGGUAGAUCAUCCUCCUCUGCGACUCAUCAAUUGUGUCAUCGAUUUGGUUUACCCUCAGCUUCUUUUUUAUUGAUUGAUUAUAACUUUUUAAUAUAUCAACGACUAUAAUUAUUUACAUUAUAUAUAUAUAUAUAUAUAUAUAUAUAUAUAUAUAUAUAUAUAUAUUUCAAAGUCUAAAUUAGUAAAUGUGCACUUUUUUAUUUGGACAAAAAAGUCAUUCACCUUUAUUAUUUAAAACUAUUACAUUGAGGGUUACUUUUGUAACUUUAUUAUAAAAUAAUGGCUAAAAUAUGGUUUUAGCCCAUGUAAAUAUGUCUCGUUUUAGUUUUAGUCCAUGUAAAAAAAAAUUGUUUUUGGUCCCUGCAAAAUUUUUUGUUUUUGAAAAUAGUUCCUCAGGGACUAUUUUCAAAAACAAAACAUUUUGCAGGGACCUUUUUAAAAAACAAAAAAUUUUGCAGGGACCAAAAACAAAAUUUUCUUUUUACAGGGACUAAAACCAAAACGAGACAUAUUUGCAGGGACUAAAACCAUAUUUUAACCUAAAAUAAUUGUUAACUUGCAUCACUUAGCUAAUUACUUAGAUCCACUUUUGUUAUGAACACAACAAUUACAAACAUUAAACAACUAAAAAAAAGACAAAAUAUUUGUGUUUUUAGUAAAGACAAAAUAUAGUUAACUUGCACCACUUAGCUAACUUAGACUCACUUUUAAUUUUUUUUUUAUUAAUUAAAUGCAAUUGAAAAAAAUAACCUUCUAUGAAAAACAAUUGGAAUAUGGGUAAUUGAAUUUUAUUUUUUUUUCAAAUAAAAAUGUGAGCACUACUAGAAAAAGCUAAGAUACCGACGAAAUUUAGAGACGGAAUUAGAGACGGAAAAAAUCAAUGAGAGAAGAAAAUAAGGUGUUUAAAAUUCAUUAUCUGGUAGAACAGGUCUCGUGCGGUUGUUUCAGCGGGGUUGAUUUAGUCCUCAAUCCGAAGCUUCAUUACACUUGAAGCUUCUUAGUCGUGUUGUGUAGAAAUUAAACCUUAAUAUUUUGACUCAAAGCUCGUCAUGUGUUACUAAUAUCUAUUUCUAUUAAGUAUAUAUUUGUAUAACUGUGCUACAAUCUAUCAAUGGAUAUAAUCUAUCCACCUGUUUAUUUUAUAAAGAUUAAUUAUAUGAUUGUUUUAAUACAAAUAAAGACCUUAAAAGUUAAAAAAGUUAUACUCCAUAUUUCAAUACUCAAAUUUCAUGGUUGUCCAAGUAAGUUGUAACAUAUACUCAAAUUUCAAAAUAACAAUUCGUUAUUCAACAAAUUUGAAAAUGAUGCAAUGAUAAUGACAUAUAAUCAUCUUAACAUCAAAAAUAUAGCACAUGUAGUUGGAAAAAAAAAAAAAAAAAAAACGCAUGUCAAAAGUGUGUACAUUUAAGAUCGAUAAGUCAUUGUAGGAGUAAACCUAGCCACUUGUUGUACAUACAAUAUGAUAUAGAUUUUGAGAAAUGUUAUUUGUACAACUAUUUUGUGACAACUUUCUCUUUCAUACUCACAUUAUAUUCUUACUCUUUCUCAUCCUUUUUCUCUCUCCAUUAUUUUUGACCAAUACCAAAAGAGAAAAAGAAGGUUGUCAUGAAAGUUGUAUCAAAUGGUUAGCUCGAAAGAUUUGUAUGUUACUUUACCACAUGAUUUUUUUUUCGAACAAGUCAAAAUGGAAUAUUAUAUCAUCAAAGAUGGUUCAUCUCGCAUAAGGUAUGCAAAAGAGAAACACCCACCAAAAAAUACAGCUAGAUGUCUGGUGCCAUAAAAGAGCACUCCUGAAGAAAAACAGAAUAAAACAAGGCUACAAUAAAACACCCAUACAAUGUAAAGGGUGCCGCCAACAGUCAUGGUAACUAAAAGCAUAAGUAGACUUGUUUGCCUUUAACCAAGAAAAAGACAUCAAUUUAAUAUUUUCCCAAUAAUUAAUUAUUACACCUCUCUUUAAAUAUAAUAUAUUCUUAAGUAGUUUUUUUGUCUUUGUUAUAUGACCAUUAAUUUGUAUAAUUUUAUCCCAAUUAAUUUAUAUUUUUAAUUAAAUUAAAGAUGCAUCUAGUAUAACUUCUGAAAAAUGGUUAAAGAGUUGAACAUCACGUCCUUAAGGAGCAUGAACAAACUUCUUAAAAAUGGUUAAAGAGUAUGAAUGUCAACAUGUAUCUAUCAACCAAUUUUUUAAUCAAACUAACCUGUUCCAUAUGAACAUAACCUCAGAUAUGGACCAGCUCCAUGCAUGAGUGUGAGUUAGCUUAAAACUUAUGUUAUAUCUAUCAUUCUUUCUAAUAAUUUUAUUGAAUGAAUUCUAUUUUGCCCGUGCAAAAAAAGAAGUAAAAAUGAACCUUCUAGGAGAGCAAGGAAAAAAUUACUGGUUAAUGGUGAUUUUGACUGGUUUCUUAACUAUGAAGUUAUGACCUUGCACCAACGUUAAGGACUAAGUAUUUGAUCUAUUAAAUUAGGGUUACGAAAGCUCUAGUUUUGCUAAAUUAUGAAAAUACUAGUUUUGUUUAUAAUAGUGAUCAGAGGUAUAUAUCAAGACAUGUAUAUUGAUUUUGCUAAAUACUACUAAAUUGGUGAAAUUGGAAUUCCUAAAGUUUAAUAUCCCUAUAUUAGACGAUCAUAUAUCAAGACAUGUAUAUUGAAUUUGCUAACUUUGAAAACAGCAUACAAACCAAUAUAUUAAAAUAAGAGCAGUGUCAACAUUUUCUGGCAAAUAAGCUAACUUAUUCUUUUGUUUACAUUUCAUUUCAAAUUCAUACCCAACUUGGGACGCAUUGGUCCAAAAAGCAUACUCACUAAUUCAAAGGCAAUCCAUUUUUUUAAUAAUAGCUGCAUGUAUCAUAAUACUUUUCACAUUUGUAAACUUAAUUUUCAAAGGCAACCAAGAUGAAUAGUUGAGGUAAAUUGGACAAAGAAAAAACCAUAUACAAAUACGUCUAUUCCUCUCCACCACCACCACCACCACCACCAUCUAAGCCAUACAAAUACGCUUCUCCACCACCACCAGUUUACAAAUACAAGUCCCCACCUCCACCCGUCUACUCACCACCACCACCACCAGUUUACAAGUACAAGUCCCCACCUCCACCACCAGUUUACAAGUACAAGUCCCCACCUCCACCCGUGUACUCACCACCACCACCACCAGUUUACAAGUACAAGUCCCCACGUCCACCCGUUUACUCACCACCUCCACCAGUUUACAACUACAAGUCCCCACCUCCACCCGUCUACUCACCACCUCCCCCGGUUUACACGUACAAGUCACCACCUCCUCCCGUCUAUUCACCACCUCCACCAGUUUACAAGUAUAAGUCUCCUCCUCCUCCUGCUUACUCACCACCUCCACCACAUUAUAUCUACUCUUCACCAC
rnacentral:lncRNA from 1 species